rnacentral:lncRNA from 1 species
GAAAAAGAAGUCCCUGCUAUAUCGCUGUCUGAGAAAGGCAGUCGGAAAUUGUUAGGCAUGAAAGAAAAAGUCGUAUGGAAGACCUACACAAAAUAAAAGCAAGUCUCAUUACUUUUCAAGGGGAGUGUAGAAGCGAUUAGUCUCUGAUGAUAAUAAGGGUACCCCCCAUGUAAAACUGCCACAAGCUCUCAGAAGUGAGACUUUAGCUCCUUACAAAUGCUGAGCAGACGUGAACACCCUCCUGGGAGAUUGAUGAGUCCUAUUAACCUUGUUGCAUAGAUGGAAACUCAGAAACAAAGUGACUCUGAGGAUUAAGAGGAAGUCAAUGUCAGCACCAGGAUUAGAAUUCACACUUGCCUGGUUUCUCAGCCCACAACCAGCUCCCCCAUGGAUUCCUGCUUUGUCUCCCUCCCCAAGUGAGGGGACAGGGUGUUUCCAAACUUUAAAAGAAUCCUGUUAUCCUCAGGCCUCUGCCUUGUAGGAAGAUCCUUUCUUUUAAUAAAUUACAGAGCUG